rnacentral:rRNA from 1 species
GACGAACGCUGGCGGCGUACCUAAUACAUGCAAGUCGAGCGAAGUUUUUCUGGUGCUUGCACCGGAAAAACUUAGCGGCGAACGGGUGAGUAACACGUAAAGAACCUGCCUCAUAGACUGGGACAACUAUUGGAAACGAUAGCUAAUACCGGAUAACAGCAUUAACUGCAUGGUUGAUGUUUAAAAGUUGGUUUUGCUAACACUAUGAGAUGGCUUUGCGGUGCAUUAGCUAGUUGGUGGGGUAAAGGCCUACCAAGGCGACGAUGCAUAGCCGACCUGAGAGGGUGAUCGGCCACACUGGGACUGAGACACGGCCCAGACUCCUACGGGAGGCAGCAGUAGGGAAUCUUCCGCAAUGGGCGAAAGCCUGACGGAGCAACGCCGCGUGAGUGAAGAAGGAUUUCGGUUCGUAAAGCUCUGUUGUUAGGGAAGAAUGAUUGUGUAGUAACUAUACACAGUAGAGACGGUACCUAACCAGAAAGCCACGGCUAACUACGUG